rnacentral:rRNA from 1 species
CCUACGGGGGGCAGCAGUGGGGGAUAUUGCACAAUGUGGGAAACCCUGAUGCAGCGACGCCGCGUGGGUGAAGAAGCGCCUCGGCGCGUAAAGCCCUGUCAGCAGGGAGGAAAAUGACGGUACCUGAAGAAGAAGCCCCGGCUAACUACGGGCCAGCAGCCGCGGUAAUACGUAGGGGGCAAGCGUUAUCCGGAAUUACUGGGUGUAAAGGGGUCGCAGACGGCGAUGCAAGCCAGGAGUGAAAGCCCGGGGCCCACCCCCGGGACUGCUCUUGGAACUGCGUGGCUAGAGUGCAGGAGGGGCAGGCGGAAUUCCUGGUGUAGCGGUGAAAUGCGUAGAUAUCAGGAGGAACACCGGUGGCGAAGGCGGCCUGCUGGACUGCAACUGACGUUGAGGCCCGAAAGCGUGGGGAGCAAACAGGAUUAGAUACCCCAGUAGUC